rnacentral:rRNA from 1 species
GACGAACGCUGGCGGCGUGCUUAACACAUGCAAGUCGAACGGAAAGGCCCUGCUUUUGUGGGGUGCUCGAGUGGCGAACGGGUGAGUAACACGUGAGUAACCUGCCCUUGACUUUGGGAUAACUUCAGGAAACUGGGGCUAAUACCGGAUAGGAGCUCCUGCUGCAUGGUGGGGGUUGGAAAGUUUCGGCGGUUGGGGAUGGACGCGCGGCUUAUCAGCUUGUUGGUGGGGUAGUGGUUUACCAAGGCUUUGACGGGUAGCCGGCCUGAGAGGGUGACCGGGGACAUUGGGACUAAGAUACGGCCCAGACUCCUACGGGAGGCAGCAGUGGGGAAUAUGGCAGAAUGGGCGGAAGCCUGAUGCAGAAACGCCGCGUGCGGGAUGACGGGCUUCGGGUUGUAAACCGCUUUCGCCUGUGACGAAGCGUGAGUGACGGUAAUGGGUAAAGAAGCACCGGCUAACUACGUG